GGCAAUGUUUCAUUUAAAUAAGUUAUCCUCAGCAGAGACCAAUAUGAUAUUAAUUCAAUGUUCUUACACCUUGAAGGUUCAAAGAGGAAACAAGGGUGAGCCCUUGACAGGAACCCAACAAUCUCUUUUCCAAUGGAAAAUCUGCGUGUAAUUAGGAAAAGGUCCAGGUUAGGUUCAAUUCAGUGUACAGUAGCCAAUGAAAUGAACACUUAUAGCUGCCGAUGCUAUGACUCGCAGAUUAUCAUGUGCCAUAACAAGUGAAUGGCAUUUCCAACGAAAGGAGAUGAUCAAGGGGGCUAGUUUUCUAUUCAGAUCAUCUAAGAUCAUAUUUCAUCCUUUCAGUAGAAACAACUACCACGAUACAUGGCUAUAGAAAAAUAGAAGCAUACCCAAGAUAGAAACAAGCUCAGCUCAUGACAUGAGCAACAGUUUCAGAAAAGUUCGGUGAGGUAACAUCAGAAAAUUUGAUGCAAGCAUAAGAGCAUGGCUGUGGUUUACUAAAAGGGUAUGGCUGUGGUUUACUAAAAGGGUCUGGCUGCUUCUUCCAUCAUCUUCUUUACUCUUGUCAGUUUCUCUAUUUCCUUAAGAACCUGAAAAUGUAAAAUAGAGAAGAGACUGCCAAUUAUUGUUAGUCUACCAGACUAGUUUAACUAGGAACAGCCAGAUUUCUUUACCUCCAAUGUCAUAUCCUCUGUGGUUACUGAAUCCAACUCAUCAUAGCCCAACAUAGAAGCUACUUUUUGCAGGGAAAUUGUAGCAUCAGCUGUAGCAUAUCCUCCUCUCAUUUCUUCAUAUGUAGCCACUAACUGAGUUAGUACCUGGUUAUCAUCCAUCACAUUAGUAAUCAGUUAUCAAUCAGAAAGGCUGAGGAUUGCAAAACAAGUUAAUUAGCAAUAAUGAACAGUUCCCUAAGCACAUUUUCCGAUCAGGCAGGUAAAUUAACAAUUUGAGAGUGAAAAGGAAAACCUCUAAAUGAUCUCCAGAAACCAUUUCUGAUGCAGGAAGUUGACUAUUGUCUUCACUCAUCUCCCUAGCUACCAUCUCCAAAGGUACAUCAACCCAUAGCGAAAUUCCAUGUCUCAGAAGUGCCCUAUAAUGAUUAGAAGGAAGCCAGGACUAAAACAAAUGGGAAAAAAACAUAAUAGCUACAAAUACUAUUCAUGUGGAAUAGAGGCAGUGAAUUUUCUCGCUAGUGCAAUCUAUGCUCAAGUUCAUACAGGUUAGUGGAACUCUGGACCGCACCAUCUCCAGCACAUACCACCAGACGACCCAUAGACGAUAACUGCUUCAAUACUUCUGUCUGUAACAAAAAUGCAACUUCAAAAUAAGGUAACUGAUUAUCUAAAUCCUUAAGUAACACAGUUCGCAUAACAUAUGUGCCGAAAAAUUCUACCCCUGAGGACUGAGGCCUCUGUUGACCUCAGGUAGGCUUCAAUCCACUCAUUUCUAAGUAAUGCCUCUCAAAACAGAACUUCUGUUCUCAUUUUCAAUAAUUAAAAACCAAACUGGAAUCCAAAAACCAAACAAAAGGAAACCCAAAUGGUUCUGAAAAAAUUUCACCUCAGAUUCACGAAAUCCCUUCUCAUCAGUCUCCCUAAAAGAUUUGGCAGCGGAUGCACCACCAGCGGCUUCCUCUACCAAACUAUCACUGUCAAAAUAAUAAUAUCGUAAUGCAUCCGCUAGAAGUUUGCCCAAACUGGUUUUCAUAGAACUUUUCAUUCCGACAAGAAAAAUUGAAGUGCCUUUAAGGUCUGAUGAGAUAUCUGCUGCUUUUUUCUUCACAGUUAGAGAAGGUUCAUCCACAGCAACCUUCGAAACGGAAGUAGUAGCUUCAUUAGGAAGCGAGCAAGUAGUGGCGAGAGAUUUGGGGAAUGAAGUGCGGGAGGCAGUGAAAACUGAAGGUCUCUGAAACCGAAGCUUGUGUUUGACAAUAGUACUCAGUGAGCGAGAGGACCGGGCAUGAAUGUGAAGCAAACGACUGGAAAAUUGGGGGUUUGGAAAGACGGAUGAGUAAAUCGUCGGUAUUAGUGGUGCCGUUAUCUCCAUCGACGGGUUAGUUGCCCAGUUCCU
rnacentral:misc_RNA from 1 species